AAUGUUUGGCUGGAGAGAUAAGAUCAUGUUUCCUUACUAAUGAUGGAGGCAUCUCCUGUGCUGUGAUGACACAGACGAGGUCACUCCACAGGAAACUCUGUCUGCUUAAGGACAACUAUGGAAAACCUCACAGGCGUUUUUACUAUAGGUCUGUAAUCCUGGCUCUUCGUGAAAGGAGUUCAGUGAACUGGCAGAAAAUCGCUGGCUAAGGGAAGCCAACAUGGAGACCCACUGUGAAGCACACAGCGGCAAAAACAGACGCCCAGGUGAAGGUCUGUGAGACCAGAGAGGGGAGGACACCAGAGUCACACAGCUACCGGUCCACAGGACAAAAACUGGAGCCCAGACCCCGUCUAAUAACCAGGAUCUUGACUGCUAGCACACUGGGUGUAUGGGACAAGUGCACAGCUGAUCAUGGCUGAAUUGGAAACUCCAAAGCUACGAUCCAAGAGGAAGGACCUGGACAAAAGAUGGAAGCUCCAAACAGAGCCUACCACCAUUCCUCAACCUUCCGACAACUCAACCCCUCCAUGUGUCUGUCAGCCGGGGCCCUUAUCAUGUGCCUGGCAUGACUUCACCUCUGAAUCCAUAUUUCUCCUUAAGAUCAAUAAACUGCUUAAUUGCUGGAGGUGGGGAUGGACACCAGACAGAAAAGAAUAUUGACCAGGCUGCCCUAAGUCCAUUCACACUGGGCAGUAUGCACUUCACGGGGGCUUAGGAUAGAUCCUGAGCCCAGAUGGUGAGGCAAGAAGCUAAGGGAACUGGGGACCAUCACUGUCUCUGUGGGCCGGCUACUGCUCUUGCCCCACAUAAACAGGAAAAUCCUAGGGGAUUUCAGCCUCCCAACAGCAAGUUCCUGAGAACCCUGGUCGUAUCAUGCAACCUUCAUCUAGAGAACUGUGUCUUCCAUUCCUUGGGACAAGAGCCUAAGUGGAUCUUCUACAUAGAAGCUUAAGAAUAGGCAGAAACAAAGCAACUAUGUUCAUCCUGGGUAUGUAGCCAAAAGUAUCACAGUCAGCUAAGACAGUGACACCCGAACACCCAUGUUUAUUAUAGCACUAGUCACGAUAGUCAUGAUAUGGAAUCAGCCUGGGUACCCAUUGGCAAACGGAUGAAUAAAAAUUAUUGUAUAUUUA